GUCACCAGGUCCAUGAGGGUCUCCCACGGUUUCCCGGCGCCAUCUUGCUGCACGAGGUAGUUAGUCGGUGUUUAAAGGGGCAGGGGGAGGAAGGGGUUAGAAGCUUCUAGCAGCCAUCUUGAUUAGAGCAUGUGUGUAUAGCUUUAUAUAUAAUAUAUCGUGGAAUGAGUAAAUAGACAUUUUUCACUAACUAGGAAAUAUGUGC